ACUCCUACGGGAGGCGCAGUGUGGAAUAUUGCACAAUGGAGGAAACUCUGAUGCAGCCAUGCCGCGUGCAGGAUGAAGGCCCUAUGGGUUGUAAACUGCUUUUUUACAAGAAGAAACCUUGGUACGUGUACCAACUGACGGUAUUGUAAGANAAG
rnacentral:rRNA from 1 species